GUCCGGAAUUGAUGGGUUCUUGGUCUCACUGACUUCGAGAAUGAAGCGCGGACCCUCACGGUGAGUGUUACAGCUCUUAAGGUGGCACAUCUGGAGUUUGUUCCUUCUUAUGUUUGGAUGUGUUCGGAGUUUCUUCCUUCUGGUGGGUUCGUAGUCUCCCUGGCUCAGGACUGAAGCUGCAGACCUUCACGGUGAGUGUGUUACAGCUCUUAAGGCGGCGCAUCUGGAGUUUUUCGUUCCUCCCAGUGGGCUCGUGGUCUCGCUGGCUUCAGGAGUGAAGCUGCAGACUUUCGCGGUGAGUGUUACAGCUCAUAAAAGCAGUGUGGCCCCAAAGAGUAAGCAGCAGCAAGAUUUAUUGCAAAGAGCAAAGAACAAAGCUUCCACGGUGUGGAAGGGGACCCCAACGGGUUGCCGCUGCUGGCUCCGGAAGCCUGCUUUUAUUCUCUUAUCUGGCCCCACCCACGUCCUGCUGAUUGGUAGGGCCAAGUGGUCUGUUUUGGACAGGGCGCUGAAUGGUGCGUUUACAAUCCCUGAGCUAGACAUAAAGGUUCUCCGGGUCCCCACUAGAUUAACCAGAUACAGAGUGUGGAUACAAAGGUUCUCCAAGGCCCCACCAGAGCAGCUAGAUACAGAGUGUUGACUGGUGCACUCACAAACCCUGAGCUAGACACAGGGUGCUGAUUGGUGUAUUUACAAUCCCUGAGCUAGAUAUAAAGACUCUCCACGUCCCCACUAGACUCAGGAGCCCAGCUGGCUUCGCCUAGUGGAUCCUGCACCAGGGCUGCAGGUGGAGGUGCCUGCCAGUCCCGCGCCCUGCGGUCGCACUCCUCAGCCCUUGGGUAGUCGAUGGGACUGGGCGCCAUGGAGCAGGGGGUGGUGCUCGUCGGGGAGCUCAGGCAGCACAGGAGCCCGUGGAGUGGGUGGGCGGCUCAGGCAUGGCGGGCUGCAGUUCCCGAGCCCUUGCCCCGUGGGAAGGCAGCUAAGGCUCGGUGAGAAAUCGAGCCCAGCGCCGGUGGACUGGCACUGCUGGGGGACCCAGUACACCCUCCGCAGCCGCUGGCCCGGGUGCUAAGCCCCUCAUUGCCCGGGGCCAGCAGGGCCGGCCGGCUGCUCCGAGUAUGGGGCCACCAAGCCCAUGCCCACCCGGAACUCCAGCUGGCCUGCAAGCACCGCGCACAGCCCCGGUUCCCGCUCGCGCCUCUCCCUCCACACCUCCCUGCAAGCUGAGGGAGCCGGCUCUGGCCUUGGCCAGCCCAGAAAGGGGCUCCCACAGUGCAGCGGUGGGCCGAAGGGCUCCUCAAGUGCCGCCAAAGUGGGAGCCCAGGCAGAGGAGGCGCGGACAGCGAGCGAGGGCUGUGAGGACUGCCAGCACGCUGUCACCUCUCAGUCAGGCGGGUCUCAAACUCCCAACCUCACGUGAUCUGCCCGCCUGGGCCUCCCAAAGUGCUGGGAUUACAGGCAUGAGUCACUGUGCCCAGCCUGAAUCUUUUUAUGCUUAUUGUUUGUGGAUUUUGUUUCAUUCUUACGAAUGCCCUCCUUAUUCCAUGACUAUAAAAUAUUUGCUAAUGGUUUCCUGUGGUAUGGUUUGAGUUUUCUUUUUUACAUUUAAAUGUUUGAUGUUCCUGAGGUGUGAUUCGAUUUAGGUUGUUAGGUAUAGUUCAAAUGAAUUUUUAUUAUUUUUAUUAUUUUACCUAUUUAAGUCUAAUUUUACUGUUUGUUGUUGUUGUUGUUGUUGGAGACAGAGCCUCACUCUGCCACCCAGGCUGGAGUGCAGUGGUGUGAUCAUAGCUCACUGCAGCCUCAAAUUCCUGGACUCCAGUUAUCUUCCCACCUCAGUCUCCUGAGCAGCUGGGACUACAGGCAUGGACCACUAUGCCUGGCCAAUUUUUUAAUUGUUUUUAUUUUUGUGGAGACAAGGUCUCACCAUCUUGCCCAGGCUGAUCUCAAGCUCCUUGGCUCAAGUGAUCCUCCCUCCUUGGCCUCCCAAAGUGCUGGGAUUACAGGUGUGACCUAUUGCACCUGGCCUCAAAUGGGUUUUUAAUAGGUUAUAACCUGUUUAUUCCAAUGGUAAUUCAAUCCUUGAUUGAGUAAUCCGCCUUUUCCACAGUAAUCUGAAUUGUACCCUUUAUUAAAUAUUAAAUUUCUAUGCAUAUAUGUGGGUGUAUUUUUGGUUUUCUGUUCUAUUUCAUUGAUUGGUCUUUUCAUGCAUUAAUAAAACUGCAGCCUUUUAUUUAUUGAAGUAUUGUACUAUUUAGUACGCAGAUAGGACUAAGCCUUUUUCAUGCCUGUUUUUUGUAGAGUUUGUAGUUUAGGAAUCAUUUUAAAAUUUUUACAUGGUUUAACCCAGGAGGCAGAGGUUGCAGUGAGCUGAGAUUUUGCGACUACACUCCAACCUGGGCAACAGAGCGGGACUCCAUUCCAAAAAAAUAAGAAAAACAGAAAAAUAAUAAUUACAUCUGCAAAGACCUUAUUUCCAGCAGGCAAGAAGAAUCUGUUGGAUGAUUACAACAUUGCUGGAUUGAUAGCAGCCUCACCUGCCAGGCUCAAACUCCAGAUCCAAAGUCCACAAAUAUAUCAUAAAUCUGAAGAGGAACUGGGAGAAGCUUCUGCUGGCAGCUCAUGCCAUUGUUGCCAUUGAAAACCCUGCUGAUGUGUCAUAUCCUGCAGGAAUACUAGCUAGUGGGCUGUGCUGAAGUUUGCUGCUGCUGCUGGAGCCACAUGUAUUGCUGGUCACUUCACUUCUGGAACCUUUGCUAACCAGAUCCAAUCAUCUUCUGCCACCCACAUCUUCUGGUGGUUACUGAUUCUAGGGCUAACUAUCAGCCUCUCUCAGGGGCUUCUUAUGGUAACCUACCUACCUACCACUGCUGUAUGUAACAGAUUCUCCUCUGAGCUAUGUGGAUAUUGUCAUCCCAUGCAACAACAAGGAAGCUCAAUCACUGAGUCUAAUGUAGUGGAUGCUGGCCCAGGAAGCUCUGUGCAUGUGUUGCACCAUCUCCCAUGAUCAUGCCUGAUCUCUACUUCUAUAGAGAUCCUGAAGAGAUUGAAAAGGAAGAGUAGGCUGCAGCUGAAAAAGGAGGAAUUUCAAAGUGAAUGGACUGCUGUAGUGCAAGUUUACUGCUACUCAAUCUGAGGUUGCAGACUGGUUUAAAGACAUGCAGGUGCCCUCUGUGCCUAUUCAGCAGUUCCCUACUGAAGAUUGGAGCACUUAGCCUACCAUGAAUGACUGGUCUGCAACUUCCACUGCUCAGACCACUGAAUGGGUAAGAAUAACCACUGAGUGGCCUUAAGCUGUUCUUCCACAAGCUCUUAAACAAGAUGGAAAUAACGCUGAUGGAAAUAAACAACAGUUUCCAAGAAAA
rnacentral:lncRNA from 1 species